rnacentral:rRNA from 1 species
CAGUAGCCGCGGGAACACGUAGGUGGCAAGCGUUGUCCGGAAUUAUUGGGCGUAAAGCGCGCGCAGGCGGAUCAGUCAGUCUGUCUUAAAAGUUCGGGGCUUAACCCCGUGAGGGGAUGGAAACUGCUGAUCUAGAGUAUCGGAGAGGAAAGUGGAAUUCCUAGCGUAGCGGUGAAAUGCGUAGAUAUUAGGAAGAACACCAGUGGCGAAGGCGACUUUCUGGACGAAAACUGACGCUGAGGCGCGAAAGCCAGGGGAGCGAACGGGAUUAGAUACCCCCGUAGUCCCUGUCUCUUAUACC